rnacentral:rRNA from 1 species
AACGAACGCUGGCGGCAUGCCUAACACAUGCAAGUCGAACGAGAUCCUUCGGGGUCUAGUGGUGCACGGGUGCGUAACGCGUGGGAAUCUGCCCUUAGGUUCGGAAUAACAGUUAGAAAUGACUGCUAAUACCGGAUGAUGACGUUAAGUCCAAAGAUUUAUCGCCUGAGGAUGAGCCCGCGUAGGAUUAGCUAGUUGGUGUGGUAAAGGCGCACCAAGGCGACGAUCCUUAGCUGGUCUGAGAGGAUGAUCAGCCACACUGGGACUGAGACACGGCCCAGACUCCUACGGGAGGCAGCAGUGGGGAAUAUUGGACAAUGGGCGCAAGCCUGAUCCAGCAAUGCCGCGUGAGUGAUGAAGGCCUUAGGGUUGUAAAGCUCUUUUACCCGGGAUGAUAAUGACAGUACCGGGAGAAUAAGCCCCGGCUAACUCCGUG